AUACGUAGGGUGCGAGCGUUGUCCGGAAUUAUUGGGCGUAAAGAGCUCGUAGGCGGCUUGUCGCGUCGGCCGUGAAAGCCCGGGGCUUAACCCCGGGUCUGCGGUCGAUACGGGCAGGCUAGAGUUCGGUAGGGGAGAUCGGAAUUCCUGGUGUAGCGGUGAAAUGCGCAGAUAUCAGGAGGAACACCGGUGGCGAAGGCGGAUCUCUGGGCCGAUACUGACGCUGAGUAGCGAAAGCGUGGGGAGCGAACAGGAUUAGAUACCCUGGUAGUCCACGCCGUAAACGUUGGGAACUAGGUGUGGGCGACAUUCCACGUCGUCCGUGCCGCAGCUAACGCAUUAAGUUCCCCGCCUGGGGAGUACGGCCGCAAGGCUAAA
rnacentral:rRNA from 1 species